UACGGAGGGGGCUAGCGUUGUUCGGAAUUACUGGGUGUAAAGCGCGUGUAGGCGGACCUGUAAGUCGGGUGUGAAAGCCCGUGGCUUAACCUCGGAACUGCAUUCGAUACUGCGGGUCUCGAGUCCUGGAGAGGUGAGUGGAAUUCCUAGUGUAGCGGUGAAAUUCGUAGAUAUUAGGAAGAACACCAGUGGCGAAGGCGGCUCACUGGCCCGGUACUGACGCUGAGGCGCGAAAGCGUGGGGAGCAAACAGG
rnacentral:rRNA from 1 species